AUCUUUUUUUCAGUAUUAGCCAUUUCAUGUCUCUCUGUCCUACAGGAAAGGAGUUCUUCCUUACACAAGUAGUUCUGUAUCUUCCUGGAAGCCAAGCGUGGGAGAAGAACGAGACCUCUAUAAAUGUGCUCAAGAUUUUGCUCUAAAUGUUCUCUACAGCCGUACAAGCUCUGUAACACAAGACACCAGACCCUCUCUCAUACAGGUAUUGGUAAAAUUGCUCAUACUUUCAGAAAUGGCAUCAUACAGUGAAUGCAGACUCCUGGGUUUUGCUUCCCUUAUUGACAGGUACACUGUCAGUUCAUUAAUCAGUUGCUAAUUUCCCUUCCACCUAUAUAUAGUGCCAAUGCUUAAGGGCAUAUGAUUUACCAUGUUGAGAGUCUGUUGACCCUCCUGCACCUCUUUAUAACAAGCAGCAACACAUCAGAAAGAUUAACCUGUGUCCACUGAGUUUAUGGUGAUGACUUUGGCUUAACACCCAAAGGAAAGUAAUGAAUGUUUUAUACACAAGAAUUAAUUAUUUCACACCUACCAGUGAUGGAUUUGCAUCCCCUCAUUGCUGUACGAUUCCCUCAGCCAAAUCCUCCCCUGUGACUUAAUAACCAAGGUGAUUGCCUCAAGCAAUUAAAAACUCCAGGAUCUAUUCCAAGCUCAUUUUGUUGCCAAGUUAACAGUACAGUAACAAAGGUAAUUUAGAAGCAUUGAGUAUUCUUCACUUCCCGUUUUCCUCUCUGGUUUCACGUCACUCUGAGGACACGGUGUCCAGAAAUAGGAGCUAAGGUAACAGGCUAAAGGAAGGUGUGGAAGAGCUCUUCCCUCAUAGAGCCACCAAGGGGCAAGUGCAGGUGGGACACAGCUGCAUGUUUCCCUUGGGCACAAGUGUUGCCUUCAACCCUUCACACCGUUCUGCUCUUUAGGGGCAUAAUUUUCUGACUUCACAUUGCAAGGCUGGAACUAACAUAGCCUGACCCAGUCUCUGACAUUCAAUUAGUCUUCUUCUCUCACACUUAGACAUACACACACUUUUUAGAGAAAAAAAAAAACAAAACCCAUGAGUAUCUAAUGUGCUUCAUAUGUCUAAAGAAGAAAAAUCUCCCCCACAGGUUGGAAAACUUUCUGUUAUGCAAAUCUGCUGACCAACACACAGAACCUUGGCUUCUGAGAUGUUUUCUCAGAAUGCCUUUGAAGUAAAACUGACUUGCAAAUUAAAAAAAACAUCCUUUUGCACAGAAAAAGUCAAAAAUAACUUUUGAAAUGUUAGUCAGGAGUGCAGAAAGAGUGCUUUUGUUGAAACUUGCAAUUUUUGAGAGGAGGUUAAUAAAAAACUGGGGAAAGUUUCGGUCUUGAGAAAC
rnacentral:lncRNA from 1 species